rnacentral:rRNA from 1 species
UACGAGAGGCCCAAACGUUAUUCGGAAUUACUGGGCUUAAAGAGUUCGUAGGCGGCAUUGCAAGUAGGGUGUGAAAGCCCUCGGCUCAACCGAGGAAUUGCGCUCUAAACUGCAGUGCUUGAGGAACCUAGAGGUGAGCAGAACAGAUGGUGGAGCGGUGAAAUGCGUAGAUAUCUGGAGGAACACCGGUGGCGAAGGCGGCGACCUGGUCCGAUACUGACGCUGAGGCGCGAAAGCGUGGGGAGCAAACAGG